rnacentral:rRNA from 1 species
UAGGGAAUAUUAGAAAUGGACGAAAGUCUGAUCUAGCAACACCGCGUGUGCGAAGAAGGCCUUCGGGUCGUAAAGCACUUUUUGGAAGGAAUAGGAAGGAAUGUACUUCCAGAAUAAGUCUCGGCUAACUACGUGCCAGCAGCCGCGGUAACACGUAGGAGGCAAACGUUAUCCGGAUUUACUGGGCGUAAAGCGCGUGUAGGUGGUACUGUAAGUAGGGCGUGAAAGCUCCUGGCUCAACUGGGAGAGGCCGUUCUAAACUACAGAACUAGAGGAUGGUAGAGGGAGGUGGAAUUCCAGGUGUAGCGGUGGAAUGCGCAGAUAUCUGGAGGAACACCGGUGGCGAAGGCGGCCUCCUGGACCAUUCCUGACACUCAGACGCGAAAGCUAGGGUAGCAAACGGGAUU